AAGAGUUCUUACAAAACUCCCAAACCCCUGUGAACAUACCUUCUGUUGCCUCGGCAGGCCCUGGCCUACCCCGUAGUGGCGCCCCUACGCUGUAGGGCCCGCUGGGGGGGAGCGCUGGGGGCCCCUGCCGGCGGCCCACGAAACUCUGUUUAGCAUUGAAUUCUGAGCGUAUAACUAAAUAAGUUA
rnacentral:misc_RNA from 1 species